rnacentral:lncRNA from 1 species
AGGGCCUUGCAGCGAGAGCAGAAGCAGCCUUAGGCGCGAAAAAGAAUAAAAACAGAAAGCAGAAACCGAGAGGGCAGAGGUCAGAGGACAGCUGCCUGGCAGCGUGAGAGACAGGCGCAGAGCAGGAGAAGCACGGGAAGAAGAGGAGCACAGAGGCAGAGGCUUCACUCCAUUCUUAUUGGUGUUAUCUUCUCAAACUCAUGUUUUACUUUUGGUUUAAUUUGAUAAUAAUGUGUAACUAAAUUUAUUUUGGCUAGAGGUUAAUUCAAAGCCAUGAAUAUAUUUGUAAUAUGAAUUGAUUACCUUCAGUUGUGAUUUCUAAGUUGUGAUUUAAUUUGCUUAACUGCUUGAUUGAUAACUUAUUUUUGUAUGUCGAUUAAGGAUGCAUACUUAAUUUACAUGCAUGAAUUUGAUGCUAGAAUAUAAGUGAAUUUCACCUAAUCAUUAUGAACUUAUAUUCACAAGUAGUGAAGGUUGCUAGUCACAAUCACGUUAAGUAAAUUCUUGGCAUAAGUUUCAUGCAAAUCAUAGUAACGAGUGCCUCGUCAAUGCUUAUGUUUUUCAUAGAACUUAAUGAUUCUUGCUUGUAUCUCUAUUAUGCAUUUCAUGUAGGGAACGUGUAGGGAAUGUUUUGGGUUGUUGUAUGCAAUCAUCCAACCCAAUAACUUAAGGAAAACUUGAAGAUUAAAAAAGUGAUGUUCACGGUUAAUCUGAAGUAUUGAGAUUUACAAUUUAUUGAAAGAACAACUGAAAAUCAAUUUAGGUUGUAUAUGUGUCAUGUGUGGAGAAGAACUCUCUAGCUAGUCCGUCACCUAUCCUUUCACCUUAAUUUCAUGUUUUUGUCAAUUCUGUAAUUUAUUUAAGUUUAAUUUACUUUUCAUCAAAACCAAACCCCCCAUUAUUAAAUUAUAUUAUUUAGUUAGUUUUCAUUGUUGUUAGUCUUUUAAUUCAAUUUCCGUCCAUUUCAGUUCCUAGUGUCCAAUUUGAUUGUUUUCAUUAUUUUGAGUCAUCCUAAGUGUGUUUCGAGUUAUUAGAGUUUUUAGCCUAGUUUUGUGUCCUUGAGUCUUGUUUAAUAUUUUUAAAUUAAUUUAGAAUAGAUUAGCAAUCCCUCCUAAUCCCCGGCCUAGAACGAUACCCUACUUACAUCUAUACUACAAUUGUCAAAAAGAGGGUUUAAUUUGUGUGUCAAGUAAUUCUCGCAUCAAAUUUUGGCGCCGUUGCCGGGGAUUAGCAACUUUGCUAAUCCCUUUAUUUUUGGUUUUGUUUAUGUUUAUAUUGGUGUUUGUGUAUUUUACUUUUGAUAUUUGAUUUAUUUUUCUUUCUUUGAUUUUAGGUACAAAUGGAGCAAGACAUGGCAAUUGCGACCAUUCAAGCUCAAUUGGCACAGCUCACUGCUCAAUUGACUCAUAAUGCCGAACGGACCACAAUGCCAAGUGUCCCUACACUUGAUGUGCCCUAUGGGCAAGGAUAUCAAAGUCCUCAAUUUUCUGCCAAUAAAGAUGCUUGGGGUUAUCAAGGCUAUGAUCAACCAAGCAACAACAUGUUUUCCAACGCUUACAAUUCGGCUUGGAGAGAUCAUUCAAAUUAUAUGUGGGGGAAGCCUCAACAAGUUCAACAAUGAAGGAUAUUGGCAGCCAUAUGAGGAGUUCUAUUCAGGACCUAUGCAGCCACCACAACCUCAUAUACAAUAUGCCCAAUCAAACUCAAAUUCGUCAAUAGAUUACAAUCAAAUUUUUGAUGAAUUAAAUUCUUUGGCGCAGGGCUCACAAAAUCAAGACAAGAAGUUGGAUAAAUUGAAGAGUCAAAUGGGAGAGAUUAUGGAAUUCAUGGUACAAAUUCAAGAGCAAAGUAAACUCUCCAGCUCAACUGUUGAAAAUUCGAAGGAAGAUUUGAAAUCCACGAUGCUAUCACUUUGGAAGGUGACAUGAAGGAUGAAGCUGUCCCAGAACCAUCCAAACACAGCCCGAACAUGGAUGAAUUGCUGCUGCAAGCAGAAGAGGAGGAGGACGACCUGGGCAGUUUAGAAGAAUUCUUGCUGCAAGCUCCUCAAAUCCCUAUGUCAUCCAACUCAGGUGAGGAAGUUCUAAAUUCACUUCAUUCUAACAUUAUUCCACCGAAUGUCCUUUGUCCUUGCAGGUUUUUGAUUCCAAAUAUCAAAGAGAGUGAAAAGACAUUGUGGAAGCUCUUCCAAAGGUGCAAAGUGAUAUCCCAAUUCUUGGUGCACCAAAACAAGUUCCCGAUGGUAUUGAAACGUUCAAAGAACCUUGCACACCAAGAAAAGGGAUUCAAGAGAAUGAAGUGGUUGAAGCAUAUCAAGAAUACAUCCAAGAGGCUGUGCAUGAGACAAUCAAGCCCAAAGCAGUUGAGUUUGAUGACACGGGACAAGCCACAACCAUCAUAGUAAACCUGGCCAAGUUCAAAGUCCCGGAAAUGUUCACAAAUGUGGUGUUUGUCAUUGAGUUUGUGUCGGAAAAAAAAGUAAGCCAUCUUCUCCAAUUUCAAUUUUAAUUUAUACUAACAUAUUUUCUGAUUUUGAUGAUUCAGGCACCCACUCUUGAAUUUAAACCAUUGCCGAAUCAUUUCAAGUAUCACCUCCCAUUAAAAGAUAAAUUCCAUGCUUUGGAGCCGAGGGGAGUUUAAAGGAAAGAUUCGUCCCGCUAAAGACGUUAAAUCAAGCGCUUCUUGGGAGGCAACCCAAGCAUUCAACGAAGGGAGACUUUGGAAUCGCUAACCAAAUCAGAUUUGAAUUCUUACACCCUUAUCUUUACUGCUUUCAUUUUGUUUUGUUUAGUUAGUUGUGUUAUUUGGUUGAUUUCUGUGAGUUUGUGUUAUUUAGUUUAAGUGUGGGGGAAGGUUAACCAAAGUCUUUUUACAUUGAUUUACAUAUUUUACAUUGAUUUAAAAAAAAAAAAAAAAAAAAAAAAAAAAAAAAAAAAAAAACAAAAAAAACAAAAACACCUAAAAAAAAAAACAUUAAAGUAAAAAUAUUUUACAAUGAUGUGUAAACUAAUAGCAUUCAUUGGUCAGGUGGUGCUUCAGUAGUCGGCGGAGCUUCAGCAGUCGGCGGGGCCACGGAAGGAGGAGGUAUCGGAGGUUGAUCAGUUGGAGCUUCACUACGCGGUGCCGCCCCAGAAGACGAAGGCAGAUGCGGUUGGAACAAACCCACAAACCUCCGGUGAUCAAGUAAAAUCUGACCAUCAUUUUCCUGCAGCUGGUCAAUUUUCCCCUUCAUGUUGGUGGCAUAGCUGUGUGCGAGCUUGUGCAAUUGUUUAUUUUCAUGCUUGAGUCCUUUAAUCUCCUCUUUGAGACUCUGUAUUUCAGCCACCAACGAUUCAACGUGACGGGUUCGAGCAAAUAGGCGUUGGGCCAUGUUGGACACAGAACCCGCACACUGCACGCUAAGAGCCAGAGACUCCUUAACCGCCAAUUCAUCAGACCGUCUAGCGAGCAGUCUGUUAUCUCUUGGGGUGACAAGGUUCCGGGCCACCACCGCAGCUGUCAUAUCAUUUUUCAUCACCGAAUCCCCCACGGUAAGGGGACCGGUAGGGGAUAUGAAGGAUGGGCGCCAUAUGUUGUCUGGUGAAGGCGGAGCUGCCUCUUCACCAAGGUUCAAGUCAAAACGACGAUCGGAAGGGCCAGACAUUUUCAGAGGUGGUGAAGAAAGAAGAGAUGAGGACUGAUCAAGAUUAAACAAGUGCAAGAAGGGAGUGUUUACAGGAGGGAGCUCAAGUGUGUUGUGGAACAAAAUUAGCGCCUCUAUAAAAAGAAGAAAUCAAAGAGGCGCUCCUCAGAAAUUGAAGAGGCGUCCUCUCGCAAAUCGAAGAGUCGGGGCUCCGUUCUCAAACGCCUGAUUCUUUUCUCAAAAGAGGAGUUUCCUUUCUCAAAAGCCGGAUUCUUUUCUCAAAAGAGGCGUUUCAUUUCUUAAAAGUUGGGCUUGCUCAGAAACCACGAGCCGAACCCCGGAUUUCAAAAGAUCAAUUUGUCCAGACGUGUCGUCACUUGUCACACGCAAAUUGCUUUGCGAAAAUCUCGGGCAGUUUGUCGAAGCACCAAUUCAGAAAUCGAAGAGGGAAAUUCAACAGUCAAAGACACGCUAGCUUUCUCAAAAGCUGGGCUUCAACCCACGGGCAAAUCUUUUUUUUCCAGAUUUAUCUGCACGUGUCACAUGCUACCUCUACAAUCGACGAUGCUCAGAGCUCGAAGCGCCGAUUCCAGAUAUCAAUAAGGAAUCUGCUUUGCGGAAAUCACGAAUAGCUGGUCGAAAAUUUAUGGUGAAGUGGGAAAGCACGUUGCACUGUUCUUUUACUCGUGUCGGUAACCCUGGGAUAAUUGAACAGUACCUCUACCAGCCAUUAAGAAAAUUCUAUAAAAUGUUAAACUUCAUUGCCACAAGUAGCCUCACUCAAACCUUCUUCAUCUCCGAAAAUGCAUUCCCCAAAGAAUCCUCUCAAAGUCACUCUGUGUUCCUCAUUCCUUGGGAUACUCCUGCGAACAACACAUUCAAAGCAAAAGUAUUUCAUAUCAUAAAGGUUGAAAGCAAGAGUAUCUCAUAUCAUGCUUUCUCCCUGUCCUUUCUCCAGCCAGCACUUGCUCUCGAGUACUCAUCAUCUUGUGUUUCCUCUUCGUCUCUUACGUAUAAGGGAAGUGAAGAUGAUACCUCGAAGCAUGUGGAGACAACGUGCUGAUUCAUCCUCAACUAGGGACAAGGAGAAAGAAAGCAAGAGGUGGGCACUUGGAAAGAUUGAAGAAAGAAACAGACCAAUACCUCUACCUCGUGCCUGCCCGCCAUGCAGAGGAAACAAGCAGAGAAGAAUGCAGCUCGUACAAUCAACCCAGCACAAGGAGUCCGAGCUGAAGAACUAGAGAAGCUACCACAUCUGCUUGGAGAACAAAUAAGGAACAACAACAUCGCCAAAGAGCAAAGCUCCGCCGUACAAUAUCAUCAAAUCAUCACUUGCAAGUAAAAAGCUAAGUGUCACCCCGUUCAAGAGGAAAGCUGUGGAAAGUCAACAAGCACGACCAAUGAUCACUUAUUAGUUCUAUUCAUUGUCUUUUAUCGUGAUUUUCAAUUUUUCGUUUGCAAUUUUUUUUAUAUUUUCUUGUGUUACUUAACUGAAUUAUUUCUUUUCUUUGCAGGAAUUUUUGGUUAUUUCCACCCUUGAAGUUGAUUGCAGAAUUUUAGCUUGGGGGUCAUCGCUUGAUUUUACUGCAAAUUAGGGAAGUUUUCAGUCCAAUUGCUUUAUUUUGUUUCUUAUUAUUUAUUUAUUUUAUUUUUAUUUGCAUUAUAGUGUUUUCUGACAUUGGGGACAAUGUCCAGUUUAAGUUUGGCGGUAAAGAGUAUAAAAAAUGACCAAAUUAAAAUUUUUUGUACCUUCGACUACGAACUGGUUUCAUUUGUUUCUGUGUUGUUGCUUUUUGUUUUCUUAAUUAGUUUUGCUUUCUAAAAAAAAAAAAAAAAAAAAAAAAAAAAAAAAAAAAAAAAAAAUCGGAAAAUUUAAAAAUCCAAAAAUAUUGUCUUGUUUCCCUUAUUGUUUUGAAUUAGAUUUUUGUUAGCUUCCCGACCCAAUGAUAUAAUUGGAUCAAAUUUGAAUCAUGAUUAUCAAGAACUUAGUUAACAUGUGUUUUGUGAAAUUCCUAAUUCUCUUGUUAGUUUUGUACAUGUUUGAUCAUCUUUGAAAAACCAAAUGCACAUAGCCUUGUUAAUGUGAAACUAAAGUAUGACUUAAAGCUUCAUAUGUGAAUUUAGUGACCAUAUACAUCCUAUGUGAGUUUUUGAGCCGAUUGAAAGUGUGUGCAUUUUUCAUACACUCCUAUUCUUUCAUGUGUGAUGAACUUAUGUGAGAUACAUCUCUAGAACUUGCGUAACGAUCUUUCGAAAUGUUUGUCAUUGAUUGCAUGAAUUUGGAAAUGAUAGAGGCAUUAGGUUUACCACUAUGGCCCAAAUAACCAUGUUUCCCAAAUAAAAAUGAUAUCAUUAGAUUGCCAAUUUGAGCCGUGUAUGUUGAGCCUUUUAUUUCUUAUCACCAGAUAUGUCUACCCUUAUACCUGAAACAUUUUUCCUUACCCUUUCCAAGCAAGCUAGUGAGCAAUGUGAGAUUGUCUUAUGAAAAAUGUUUGUGAAGUACUUUGAAGGUGUUUGGCAAAAGAAUAAGUGUGGGGGUAUUUCAUGUUUGUAGUUGAAAAAAAAAAAAAAAAAAAAAAAAAAAAAAAAGAUUGUAUACAAUUGAAAUAAAAAGUUGUUUAAUUUUCAGUUUAAGGGUGUGGUUGGAGGUUUAAGAAGAAUCGUUGGAGAGCUUGAGUUCUUAUAAAUCUAAAGAAAAGAAUUGCUUGCAAUGUAGCUUGGAACUUGUGUUUUCCUAUUCUUUCGUUUCAAUAACCAUAUCCAUAAGCCUCAUUACAUCCAAUAAAAGUCCUCUUGAUUUAAGUUUUGCAAUUAUGACUGUGGAGAAGUGAUCUUUAUGCAAGCUUAUGGUAGAAAUUUCACAUUUGAUUCUUUGAGCGAAACACAUUUAACUAAACACAUGUGUGAUUGAGUGCAUAUCCCGUGAGAAGGUCGCUAGUUCGCAUAUGAUGAUUUUAAAAAUAAAAACUUGAAAUUGCAUUAGCAUGGCUAUCUCACACACUACACCUCAAGGAUGAUUCAAAGAUUACUGCUAAUAUUUGAAUAAGGAAGAUGAACUUGGAUUAGUUUGUUGGUGCUAGCUAUGGUUCUUGAUGAUUUGUUUUCUCGAAUGAAAUUCUAUGAGGGUCACAUAGGGGGAAACUAAUGUUUUUUUUUUAUGUUAUUACUUUUUCAUGUUCUCUUUGUUUUGCUCGAGGACUAGCAAAAGCUAAGUAUGGGGGUAUUUGAUCGGAUCAUAUUUAUAUAUAUUUUUACUUCAAAUUCACUCGUCUUUUCUUAGUUAGUUCCUUAUAUUUUUGAGCUAUUUACGUUAUUUUUGUGUUUAUAGGAUUUGUUAUGCAAAGAAAAUAAAAAUGGCACAAAUGAGUUUUAAAUAAUAAACAGAAAGAAGGAAUAAAAAUUAAAAGGAGCUGCCUUUGCAGCUGGAGGAAAGCAGGUCAGCAAGGGACAAACAAAAGGGGGAAUAAUAGCAUAGACGAGGAAAGAAGACAGUGGGAAGGUAGUGGAGCAAAAAGAAUGGCAGAAAAUAAGAGGAAGUGGACAGAGUUAGGUGAGAUAGAAGAAGAAUAAUAAGGGGGGAGGAGACGAGAAACCGGGGGGGGGGGAAGCUUGCCUUUGGCAGCUCAUAGGAAAGAAAAUAAAACAAAAAAAAAAGGAAAAGAAGUCAGACGGGGAGAGGGGAUAGAAACCGGACAGUGAGAAGUGGAAGAGGGAGAACCGAGAGCUUGGGGGGAAAACUGUGCAGAAACGAAGAGAGCUGCCUGUGGGCAGCGUGAGCUGGAAGAAAGAGGGGAGAGAGAGAGAGGACUGACGCAGGAGGGCCUUGCAGCGAGAGCAGAAGCAGCCUUAGGCGCGAAAAAGAAUAAAAACAGAAAGCAGAAACCGAGAUGGCAGAGGUCAGAGGACAGCUGCCUGGCAGCGUGAGAGACAGGCGUAGAGCAGGAGAAGCACGGGAAGAAGAGGAGCACAGAGGCAGAGGCUUCACUCCAUUCUUAUGGGUGUUAUCUUCUCAAACUCAUGUUUUACUUUUGGUUUAAUUUGAUAAUAAUGUGUAACUAAAUUUAUUUUGGCUAGAGGUUAAUUCAAAGCCAUGAAUAUAUUUGUAAUAUGAAUUGAUUACCUUCAGUUGUGAUUUCUGAGUUGUGAUUUAAUUU